CCUACGGGUGGCAGCAGUAGGGAAUCUUUCACCAUGGGCGAAAGCCUGAUGGAGCAACGCCGCGUGCAGGAUGAAUGCCUUCGGGUUGUAAACUGCUUUUAUAAGCGAGAAAUAUGAUGGUAACUUAUGAAUACUGAUCGGCUAACUACAUGCCAGCAGCCGCGGUCAUACGUAGGGUCCGAGCAUUAUACGGAGUUUCUGGGGGUAAAGAGUUGCGUAGGUGGCAUAAUAAGUAGCUAGUGAAAUCUGGGGGCUCAACCAUUAAGACUAUUAGGUAAACUGGUAAGCUUGAGACCAGUCGGGGUAACUGGAAUUGCUAGUGUAGGAGUGAAAUCCGUAGAUAUUAGAAAGAACACCAAUAGCGUAGGCAGGUUACUGGGACGGUUCUGACACUAAGGCACGAAAGCGUAGGGAGCAAACGGGAUUAGAUACCCGAGUAGUC
rnacentral:rRNA from 1 species